AAACUACAGUAGCUGGUUCUUAAAGUGUUUCAGGGGGGUUCACUAUGGAAAGGAACUUUUAACAUACAAGUAGAGUAAACAACAGACCCCUUUUCCAGUUACAGAAAAAGAGGUAAAUAAUUAAGGAAAGAAAUAGAUCUGAAAGGGCAGUGGUAGGAAGGCACUUUCCAACAGAUGCAGCAGCCAUUUCCAAAUACUAAUAACUCUUUGUCUCCAUCUAAACAAAGGAGGGUGAAAGACAGAUGCCACAUCCAUACCUAGAUUUCCCAGGAGAAAAAUGGAAGAGAAAUUAGGACAGACCAGAUGUUCAAAGGAUUAACAUUAUUGAAGAGUAACCGAAACACAGGAGGAGCUGUCAUUGCUCAGGUUCAGUAAUCGCAAGAAAAGAAGAGUCCAAACUGACGCAGAACUUCUCCCAAAGCUGCCUUCAGAACAGUGCACAUACAUGUUACAUCCAUAAACUCCAACACCCAGAAAGACAAGUCAUCUGUUGCAGAAAAUGCUGCCUUCAUUUCCCAGCACCUUUAAGCGGUGGAGCUUACAGAGAGAACUGUUCUUUUUAUGCAGUAGUUCUUCAAAGCAUUUAGAAAUACAAGCGUGGGUGGGCAUCCAGUCCUGUGCUAGUAUUAGGAACAUUUUGCUUUUUAAAUAAUCUUUGUAACCUGCAUCUUAAAAGAGGGACAAGAAACCUCAGAGGCUUUCUACAUCUCUGCUCCAUUACUGUCCUGGCAGCAAGAGAAGAAUGAAGAUAGAAAGGAAAAUGAAACAAAGCUAAAGUUUGGGUGGAAAUGAAUUUUCCUCUGUCACAAACCAACAGCUGAAGUCAACUGCUUAUUUCACAAGGUGGAACAAACCUAAAACCACUCUGUUCCUUACAAGCACAGCGAGAACAUCUAUCAAUGUAUUUGUCAGUUUAACAAAAUACAAGCCAAAACUCUUCUUUCCAGAUUAUCGCCAACCCACAUGAGAUCACAAGGGAACUCCUCCUUUACCUUCUGUCAUGUUCAAAUGCAGAAUAUAAAGAUGGCCCCAUUUGUAGAAUUCACAACUGAAAUAGAUUCUCCACUCUUCCACACAUAAAUGAUCGUCCUUCCUCAUUUUCUAAUUCCAAAGACCCUUCUCCAACAUCAGACAGAUAAUUCUGUCAAAACCAAAACAUCAGGGAAGAUAAGAAGAUGAAAAUCUACCCUGGCCACUAAGAGACCACAGUGCAGCAGAACAGAUCUACUUGCAUUGAAGUGUUUUGAUGGUAUGUGCAAUACUUCUAUGCCACAUUCUAAGGACAGAGAUGAAGCUUUACUUCCAGAACUCUCCAAACCUGUUGCCACCAUACUGUUGAUCUGACAUUCAUUUCAAGCUGAUUAGUAUCACACAAAUCACAAGUGUUCAACUAUGUAAUGUUUUGGAAGUUAUUUUCCGCUACUUCUGUGGCAUUUUUACAACUGUCCAAGAGCACAGAUUGGGUUUUUGAAUACAAAAAUGAAUGAAACCAAACUUGAGAACUGUGUUAGAGUCAGUAGACCCCACUACUCAGUGACAGGGCAACCACCUUCAUUUGCAGAACUGAUAUGGCCUGGAUACUUCAAAUUCAUGAUACAUUGUCACCAGAAGAGCCUGAUUCUUCCUCUGUGACUCCCAAAACCAGUAUUUUGUCCUUUCUGUGGAGUAUUCAGAGUUUCAUGCUAUGAUCCCACCUCCCUCACAUAUUAAUUACACUUCCUGGUAUAUCUGGAUACUUUCCACCUCCCAAAGUCCACACUGCAAAAUAUUGGGUUUUUGGUCCACACACCUAAUUAAGGAAGAGAAGAAGGAAGAGGACCUGCAGACUAGGCAACACAUGAUAGAGCUGAUGCAACACGACAAUUAGGCUGUUGGCUGGUAUGCUCAGCUACUGGGCCAGCCAAAGAAGAGGAAAAAAGGCUGAACUCUUUAUUUCUUUCUCUUUCACCUCUUCCCAGCAUCAACUUUCACAAAAAACUUUUAAAACAUAAUGCUGAAAUCACUGCCCCUCCAUCAAAGCUGAUUCUGCCCAAAGAGCAAAAGAGAGAUCAGAGCAGUAGAUUAACAGAAGGACACAACAAUCAUAAGUUUGAUCUUUCGGCAAACAAGAGGGGUUUUUCCUAACCAAGGUUACUGCCCCAUGUCAGUAGCACCAAGAGCUUUCCAGAGAGGCCUUACUUACAGGGGAAAAGAGAAAAUAAAUCAGUAACAUAUAAAGAAAUCACAGCCAGUCUUUUUUUUUUAAACACUUUGACAAUUUCUAUUAAGUACAGGAUAAGGGAUGCUCUCCUGCUUGCAAGAAAAAGUUGUGUGAUGUUUCCUGUAUGUUUGCUUUUGAAGUGGACAACUAACUGCUCUAGUGCUUCUGAAGACUGGCCAGUACUGCAAUUCAAGAUGAGUAUUCUCAAUGGAAACAGUAAGUCAGACCUACUACUAAACAGUAAGUCAGACUUUAUAACUGAAAAAUAAGCUUAAUCUAAGUGUAAGAUCUCUUCCAGUCACUGAAUAAGAACCUGAAAGCUGGCCCUUUGCCAAAGAACAAAUGUAAAAUCGGGCUGCUAUUUGAUAGACCUAAGUAAGACAGAUCAGAAGCUUCUCAUAACUGAUACUCAGAAGGCUGGGCAGAAUCAAAGACACUUUACUUGUCUUUUAAGAAUUUGCUUUCACUUGUUUUGAGUCAUAAAUUCACAUCCUUCUCUUCAGUACUAUCAACUCAAUUAGCACACUGAGCCUACCUGUACAUACCGUGCCGUACAGGCAGCAAUAAGACCUAUGCAGCACUGCUCCAUGAACUAAAUGUCUACUGCUUGCCAGAAGCAAAACACUCUAGAAAUGUGGUCAAUUGGUGCAAAAGAAUCAGAAAGUCCUAAUCCUUAUUUUGAUUUGCAAAGUAAUUCUAUCUCAUCUGAGGUCUUGACCAGGAUUUUUUCAUCAUCUCUACAAUAUGGUAAAAAUGAUUUUAUUGGCUUGUUGUGAAAUUUAACAGUUUGUAAAGAACAGCAUAAGUAAUUACACUCUGCUUCUGUAGAGGAAUUUUGAUAUUAAGUGUUCACAAUGUAGGCCCAGAACAGGGGCUUUAGAUUGUUUCUCUUAGUACUUAAUAGCUGGUCACCUGAUUUUAGCAAACAUGAUUCUGAAGACAACAAGAAACAAUUUUAAAAGUAUUUUUAUUAAACAAACAAACAAACAAAAAUGAAGUGUAAAAAAACCCCCAAACAAACCAGUCCAUGCUGUACUCCAUAAAUUGGCCUUAGAAGACAAUCAAAACACUGAUCAAAUAUUUCUUAUUUACAGUUGAGAAAUAUAAAAUGCUAUAAAGGUCUACAAAGAUCACUUACUCCCUGCCAUCUGCAUUUGAGAAACCCUUUCAAUGAACUCACCUGGGACAGGAUGCCAGAGAAGGGAGAGCAGGUUGCUGUCAAGGGAAGUAGAGGCAAAAAGCAAUUGCUGUUUCCCACAGGGAAGCUGUUGGUCAGUAUGAAGUGCAGAUAUUCCACAUUUUGUAAUUACAGGUCAUGAUUUUUUGUCCUUUUUUUAUGAUCUUAAUACCAUUUUUCACAGUAUCUUUACACAUUUAUUAUAAUGGAAUUAAUCUGGUUGUAACAAACAAGCAUGUAUGAAUGUGUCAUUACUGUCUCUCCCAUCUGUAAUCAAAUUUGAGUAUCUCUUUCUAAGCAGUAUUUGACUACUUUGGAUUGCUCUCCUGGUUACCAGUGUUAACUAUUAUCAGCUGUCACAGGUGUUUUUUCCCUCCUCUCUCUUAUUUGUUUUUUGUUCAUUUGUUUUUGUUUUGGGUUGGUUGGUUGGGGUUUCUUUCAAAGCACGAAAAUAGUAACUUUCUCCUUUCUGUAACAAUAAUGCUAAGGGAUUACCUCCACUAAAGAUUCAGUAUGACCUGGUAACCUCACUGUGACAUUUCUGUCUUCCUUCCCAGGCAAUGUAACAAGAACUUAAGGCAACAGAACAGAUUCUCAUUAAAUUUGGUAGUGUUUAGCUGAAAGCAAUACCAAGGACAAGCUAGAUCCAGUGUUUUAAAGGAAAAAAAAAAAAAAAUAA